UUCGCUGACGAGUGGCGGACGGGUGAGUAAUGUCUGGGAAACUGCCUGAUGGAGGGGGAUAACUACUGGAAACGGUAGCUAAUACCGCAUAACGUCGCAAGACCAAAGAGGGGGACCUUCGGGCCUCUUGCCAUCGGAUGUGCCCAGAUGGGAUUAGCUAGUAGGUGGGGUAACGGCUCACCUAGGCGACGAUCCCUAGCUGGUCUGAGAGGAUGACCAGCCACACUGGAACUGAGACACGGUCCAGACUCCUACGGGAGGCAGCAGUGGGGAAUAUUGCACAAUGGGCGCAAGCCUGAUGCAGCCAUGCCGCGUGUAUGAAGAAGGCCUUCGGGUUGUAAAGUACUUUCAGCGGGGAGGAAGGCGAUAAGGUUAAUAACCUUGUCGAUUGACGUUACCCGCAGAAGAAGCACCGGCUAACUCCGUGCCAGCAGCCGCGGUAAUACGGAGGGUGCAAGCGUUAAUCGGAAUUACUGGGCGUAAAGCGCACGCAGGCGGUCUGUCAAGUCGGAUGUGAAAUCCCCGGGCUCAACCUGGGAACUGCAUUCGAAACUGGCAGGCUAGAGUCUUGUAGAGGGGGGUAGAAUUCCAGGUGUAGCGGUGAAAUGCGUAUAGAUCUGGAGGAAUACCGGUGGCGAAGGCG
rnacentral:rRNA from 1 species